rnacentral:rRNA from 1 species
UACGGAGGGGGCUAGCGUUGUUCGGAAUUACUGGGCGUAAAAGCGCGCGUAGGCGGACCUGCAAGUCGGGGGUGAAAGCCCGAGGCUCAACCUCGGAACUGCCUUCGAUACUGCGGGUCUCGAGUCCGGGAGAGGUGAGUGGAAUUCCUAGUGUAGAGGUGAAAUUCGUAGAUAUUAGGAAGAACACCAGUGGCGAAGGGCGGCUCACUGGCCCGGUACUGACGCUGAGGCGCGAAAAGCGUGGGGGAGCGAACAGG